rnacentral:lncRNA from 1 species
UCAGUAGACAGCUUUGCAGGCUGUUCUUGUGUUUGCAGUCCCUGUGUAUAGCCUUCUCAAAAUACAAACGGCAUAUUUUGAGGCGAGUGCUGACCUCACCUUGCAAAGCUCUCUGAAGUGUCUGAGCAGAGGGUCCACUCCUCCCCGGCAUACCUUUGCAGCAAUAUCCUGGCAGAUACUUUAUGUCAUGUUGCCAUGAACUGCAUUGUUCUGCCCCAAGCCCCAGGCUACUGGAAAAAAUGGUUGAAGACCUGAAAACUGUGACCCCUGUUGCCUAGCAACUGAGAAGCUCAGCCUCAACUCCGGGUGGGGGAGAUGAUGGAGAAAGGACAAUUGCUCUGAGCUUUCAGUCACCAUGUGAGAAGUCUGGCUACCCUGAGGCCAGCACAUGCAGAGACCACAUGGAGAGAUGAGAGGCAGAGAGAGCCGCCCAAGGAACUCCAGCUGUUCCAGCACCCAGCUGUUUGAAUCCUCCCAGCCCAGGCACUAAACGUGAAUGAAAAGCUCUCAAGACAACCUCAGCCCUCGGACCCAGCCACAGACUGAUUGCCACUGUAUGAGAGACCUCAGAUGAAAACUGUCAAGUGGAGCCCGGCUAGCUAACAGAUUUAUAAGCAAAAUAAGUGAUUGUUAUUGUUUCAAGCCACCAUUUUGAAGUGGCUUUUCUGCAGCAAUAGAUGCCUGGAGGAGUCCUAAUAAUAAAAAUUAAUCAGAUGGAGGAUCUGCUUUUUUAUUUUCUCUUAGGACUAAGGAAAGGCUUGGUAUAAUCUUUGAACUGAGAUAAAGAAUAAGUUACUCUUAAAAUUUUCCAACAAAUGGAGUCCUUAUUGUCUGUAGUUAGUACCCAAAGCUUAGACACUUUCUCUCUACAUACCCUUCCAAGGAUAAGGCUGUAUUUUGUAAUGCCAGAUGACACAAUCUGAUAAACAAGCAGACACCCAU